rnacentral:lncRNA from 1 species
UGAGGAUGUCUGCAAUGUUUUGUGAACCUGCUUUUCUGCUGGCUGGCACUGGACAGCAGCAUUCACCAUAUGUGUGAUCAAACUUCAGACAGACGGGGAAGAGGACUUUCAGAACUGCUUCAGAAGGUGGCAAGAAAAAUGGGGUAAGUAUGUUUGAUGCUGGGGGUGCUCUGAAAGGGAUUGAUGGCAAUGUGUCUUUUGCCAUAAUAAUUUUUAGAAAUUUUAACACUGACCAUGUGUUUUGCUCACCCCUUUGUAUCUCUUACUUUUGCUGCCAGCAGUGGGACUUGUCUCAUGUGCAACCGCAACUUCAAAGAACAGUGGCCUGGUCCUUCCACCCGGCUCAGGACUCAUCUGUCUUCCAGUCACUGACUGCAGCCGCUGCUUGCUGUGCCUUGGCAGAUCUGGUGAACAAUGAGACCCAUGAAGUAAAGCCUCUCUGCCUAUCGUCGGGGGAAUCUCACAGACACAUCAAGUAAGUAA